GAUGAACGCUGGCGGCGUGCUUAACACAUGCAAGUCGAGCGAAGCGAUUCAAAUGAAGUUUUCGGAUGGAUUUUGAAUUGACUUAGCGGCGGACGGGUGAGUAACGCGUGGGUAACCUGCCUCAUACAGGGGGAUAACAGUUGGAAACGACUGCUAAUACCGCAUAAGCACACAGUGCCGCAUGGUACGGUGUGAAAAACUCCGGUGGUAUGAGAUGGACCCGCGUCUGAUUAGGUAGUUGGUGAGGUAACGGCCCACCAAGCCGACGAUCAGUAGCCGACCUGAGAGGGUGACCGGCCACAUUGGGACUGAGACACGGCCCAAACUCCUACGGGAGGCAGCAGUGGGGAAUAUUGGACAAUGGGGGAAACCCUGAUCCAGCGACGCCGCGUGAGUGAAGAAGUAUUUCGGUAUGUAAAGCUCUAUCAGCAGGGAAGAAAAUGACGGUACCUGACUAAGAAGCCCCGGCUAACUACGUG
rnacentral:rRNA from 1 species